UGAUCUUGGAGGAAUGGGUCUCUGGUUGC
rnacentral:piRNA from 1 species